rnacentral:tRNA from 1 species
UUAUUUGAAACCAAAUUAGAGGUAUAUUAUUGUUAAUAAUAAAAUUGAUAACAUCAUAUCCAAAUAAA